GAUAGACGUUCACUGUCAUUUGUUAAUAUUGCUAGCCAGUGGAGGGAGGUAAAGAGAACAGUGCCAGUGUUCAGCAGAAAAAAAAAAAAAAAGUCACCGUGGGAUAUUAAGCAGCAGCAAUGUUUAAGAUGCAUUAUACAAAGAGAUUUCAUGUGUUUAUUAAGGAAGCCGCCGAACUGUACCCACCUCCAACGCCCAGUGAAUCUCCACACUAAUCAGAAGGGAGGAUGACAAUGAGGACUGCAGGAAGACAGGACCACACCACCAAGGACCACUGAGGGAAGACCAGAGCAUCAUCUUAAACUUCUAGGAAGGUUGGAAGGUUGGAGGAGGACCCACAAUGCUGCAGUCUUGGGGACAUCCAAGGAAGAGAACACAUUGAGGGAUGCCAGGUUGAAGAUCACUGCCCUUGAAAUUGCACAUGGAAACCAA